rnacentral:rRNA from 1 species
CCUACGGGAGGCAGCAGUGGGGAAUAUUGGGCAAUGGAGGCAACUCUGACCCAGCAAUGCCGCGUGAGUGAUGAAGGUAAUUUUAUUGUAAAGCUCUUUUCUUUGGAACGAAUAAAUGACGGUACCAAAGGAAUAAGCCCCGGCUAACUACGUGCCAGCAGCCGCGGUAAUACGUAGGGGGCAAGCGUUGUUCGGAAUGACUGGGCGUAAAGGGUGUGUAGGUGGUUUGAUAAGUUAGAUGUGUAAUACCCAGGGCUUAACUCGGGUGCUGCAUCUAAAACUGUUAGACUUGAGUACUGGAGAGGAUAGUGGAAUUCCUAGUGUAGCGGUGGAAUGCGUAGAUAUCACGCAGAACUCCGAUUGCGAAGGCAGCAUACCGGCGCCCAACUGACGCUGAAGCACGAAAGCGUGGGUAUCGAACAGGAUUAGAUACCCCAGUAGUC